rnacentral:rRNA from 1 species
UACGUAGGGUGCAAGCGUUGUCCGGAAUUAUUGGGCGUAAAGGGCUCGUAGGCGGUCUGUCACGUCGGGAGUGAAAACUCGGGGCUUAACCCCGAGCCUGCUUCCGAUACGGGCAGACUAGAGGUAUGCAGGGGAGAACGGAAUUCCUGGUGUAGCGGUGAAAUGCGUAGAUAUCAAGAGGAACACCUGCGGCGAAGGCGGGUUGCUGGGCCGACACUGACGCUGAGGCGCGAAAGCUAGGGGAGCGAACGGG